rnacentral:rRNA from 1 species
UACGAAGGGAGCUAGCGUUGUUCGGAAUCACUGGGCGUAAAGCGCACGUAGGCGGCUUUGCAAGUCGGGUGUGAAAUCCCGGGGCUCAACCUCGGAACUGCCUUCGAUACUGUAAGUCUCGAGUCCGGAAGAGGUGGGUGGAAUUCCUAGUGUAGAGGUGAAAUUCGUAGAUAUUAGGAAGAACACCAGUGGCGAAGGCGGCCCACUGGUCCGGUACUGACGCUGAGGUGCGAAAGCGUGGGGAGCAAACAGG